AGGCGUGGGGGUCGCGGUCCUGUCAGGUCCGGGCCUGCGGUGCGGGGGUCCGGCUGCCUUCUUGUAGCCCCGCAGGUCCAGCCGCGCCCUCCCCAACGCCCCGGACUGCGGGCAUCCGGCCUGGUUCCCUCUUUCUGAGCCCAGCCUGGAGCGUGUCGGCGCGGGCCCGCCCCCUCCCGGAGCCAUCUCCCCACUGAGAGGGGCGCGCGAGGCGCUCGCCCUUGAAGGUCCCCCUCAGCCCUCCUCCCCCUCUGGCGGAGGUUGAAUUCGGGGGCCGGGAUUGGAAGGCGUGUUUCCGGCUGGACUGAAAUCCUGUGAGGAAGAUUCGCGCCCUCCCCGCCCCCUGCCCUCCCUGGGAAUCCUCUGAAGAUGCGGCCCCCUGUCCUUCGUGAACCCGGAGCCCCGGCCUCGGCCCCGGCCCAGCCCCUUCCGGGGGCCGACCCGGGCUGGGACUUCGGGGGUCCUAGCCUGAGCCCGCUGCGGGAGAACAGGCCCGGCCGC
rnacentral:lncRNA from 10 species